GACAGAGGGCGCAAACGUUGCUCGGAAUUACUGGGCGUAAAGCGCGUGUAGGUGGAUUGGUGUGUCAGAUGUGAAAUCCCUGGGCUCAACCCAGGAACUGCACCUGAAACUACCAGUCUUGAGUGGUGGAGAGGGAAGUGGAAUUCCUGGUGUAGAGGUGAAAUGCGUAGAUAUCAGGAGGAAUACCGAUGGCGAAGGCAGGUCUCUGGGCUAUAACUGACGCUCAUGCACGAAAGCGUGGGGAGCAAACAGG
rnacentral:rRNA from 1 species